rnacentral:rRNA from 1 species
GUGAACAUGGCGAACUGCUCAGUAACACGUGGACAACUUACCCUCUGGACUGGCAUAACCCCGGGAAACUGGGGAUAAUUCCAGAUAGACCAGAGAUGCUGGAAUGCUCUUUGGUUAAAAGUUUUUAACGCCAUAGGAUAGGUCUGCGGUCUAUCAGGUUGUAGUGGGUGUAACGUACCUACUAGCCGACAACGGAUACGGGUUGUGAGAGCAAGAGCCCGGAGAUGGAUUCUGAGACACGAAUCCAGGCCCUACGGGGUGCAGCAGGCGCGAACACUUUACAAUGCGGGAAACCGCGAUAAGGGAACCCCGAGUGCCAGUACUAAGUGCUGGCUGUCCGAAUGAAUAAAAAUCAUUUGAUAGCAAGGGCCGGGCAAGACCGGUGCCAGCCGCCGCGGUAACACCGGCGGCCCGAGUGGUAACCGAUUUUAUUGGGUCUAAAGGGUCCGUAGCCGGCUUGAUAAGUCCUUUGGGAAAUCUGGUAGCUUAACUAUCAGGCUUCUAAGGGAUACUGUCAGGCUUGGGACCGGGAGAGGUAAGGGGUACUCCAGGGGUAGGAGUGAAAUCUUGUAAUCCCUGGGGGACCAUCUGUGGCGAAGGCGCCUUACCAGAACG